rnacentral:misc_RNA from 1 species
AAAGCAAUAUUUCUUGGCAAUGGUCUUGUGGCUAUUUUGGCUGGGCUUUUUGGAAAUGUUCUUGUGGACACACUAAAUCUGGGUCCCGUUUCUCCUUUUGAUGCUGCUUCAUGUUUCCUUGCUAUUGGUAUGGCCAUUAUACUGUCGUCUUGGACUGAGAAUUAUGGUGAUACUUCAGAAAACAAAGACUUAAUUACCCAAUUCAAGGGUGCUGCUGUGGCAAUUGCUUCUGAUGAGAAAAUUGCA